rnacentral:rRNA from 1 species
UACGGGGGGGGCAAGCGUUGUUCGGAAUUACUGGGCGUAAAGGGUUCGUAGAUGGCCAACUAAGUCAGACGUGAAAUCCCUCAGCUUAACUGGGGAACUGCGUCUGAGACUGGAUGGCUUGAGUGCAGGAGAGGAACGCGGAAUUCCAGGUGUAGCGGUGAAAUGCGUAGAUAUCUGGAGGAACACCGGUGGCGAAGGCGGCGUUCUGGACUGCAACUGACACUGAGGAACGAAAGCCAGGGGAGCAAACGGG